GAGUAAACGCUGGCGGUAGGCCUAACACAUGCAAGUCGAACGGCAGCACAGUAAGAGCUUGCUCUUACGGGUGGCGAGUGGCGGACGGGUGAGGAAUACAUCGGAAUCUACUUUUUCGUGGGGGAUAACGUAGGGAAACUUACGCUAAUACCGCAUACGACCUACGGGUGAAAGCAGGGGAUCUUCGGACCUUGCGCGAUUGAAUGAGCCGAUGUCGGAUUAGCUAGUUGGCGGGGUAAAGGCCCACCAAGGCGACGAUCCGUAGCUGGUCUGAGAGGAUGAUCAGCCACACUGGAACUGAGACACGGUCCAGACUCCUACGGGAGGCAGCAGUGGGGAAUAUUGGACAAUGGGCGCAAGCCUGAUCCAGCCAUACCGCGUGGGUGAAGAAGGCCUUCGGGUUGUAAAGCCCUUUUGUUGGGAAAGAAAAGCAGCAGGUUAAUACCCCGCUGUUCUGACGGUACCCAAAGAAUAAGCACCGGCUAACUUCGUG
rnacentral:rRNA from 1 species